AACCUACCUAUAAGACUGGAAUAACUCCGGGAAACCGGGGCUAAUGCCGGAUAACAUUUAGAACCGCAUGGUUCUAAAGUGAAAGAUGGUUUUGCUAUCACUUAUAGAUGGACCCGCGCCGUAUUAGCUAGUUGGUAAGGUAAUGGCUUACCAAGGCAACGAUACGUAGCCGACCUGAGAGGGUGAUCGGCCACACUGGAACUGAGACACGGUCCAGACUCCUACGGGAGGCAGCAGUAGGGAAUCUUCCGCAAUGGGCGAAAGCCUGACGGAGCAACGCCGCGUGAGUGAUGAAGGGUUUCGGCUCGUAAAACUCUGUUAUUAGGGAAGAACAAACGUGUAAGUAACUGUGCACGUCUUGACGGUACCUAAUCAGAAAGCCACGGCUAACUACGUGCCAGCAGCCGCGGUAAUACGUAGGUGGCAAGCGUUAUCCGGAAUUAUUGGGCGUAAAGCGCGCGUAGGCGGUUUCUUAAGUCUGAUGUGAAAGCCCACGGGCUCAACCGUGUGAGGGUCAUUGGAAACUGGGAGACUUGAGUGCAGAAGAGGAAAAGUGGAAUUCCAUGUGUAGCGGUGAAAUGCGCA
rnacentral:rRNA from 1 species